AGUCUGUGGAUUAGUGGCCGAUGGCUACCCUGACCCAAAGACGUUUGGGGGAAAGCCGCCGCUGGUAGCCGUCUUCGGGCGUGACUGGUGGUGGGUGUCCUCCUCUUGCGGGAUGUAUGGCGCACUUGAUGGAUGGUCCUUUCGGGGACCGGAUGUCGCGUGCGGCGGCCCAUCCUGUGGGGAACUCAGUGGGGGCAACCGGAGAGUGGGGGGAGAGUCAUGAGGCGUCGUUUUGGGUCUCGCGAUUUCCACCCCCGCUGCGCUACACCGUAGGGUGUAGCGGCUUCCAGUGAACCAUUCGACCUCGCUUGCGGGGUGUCGAGGGGCGUGCCCCUCGCGACGAUAGGUACCUG
rnacentral:rRNA from 1 species